AGAGUUUGAUCCUGGCUCAGAAUAAACGUUGGCGGCGUGCUUAACACAUGCAAGUCGCGCGAGAAAGCUCCUUCGGGAGUGUGUACAGCGGCGGACGGGUGCGUAACACGUGAGAAUUUCCCCUUCAGUGAGGAAUACCCACGAGAAAUUGUGGUUAAUACUGCAUACGUUCCUACGGGAAGAAAGGUGGCUUUAUGCUGCCGCUGAAGGAUAAGCUUGCGGGCUAUUAGCUAGUUGGUAGGGUAAAGGCCUACCAAGGCGAUGAUGGCUAGCCGGCCUGAGAGGGUGUACGGCCACAUUGGGACUGAGAUACGGCCCAAACUCCUACGGGAGGCAGCAGUGAGGAAUAUUGCGCAAUGGGCGAAAGCCUGACGCAGCGACGCCGCGUGAAGGAUGAAGGUCUUCGGAUUGUAAACUUCUGUUAAGUGGGAAGAAAGACCAGUCCCUAAUAUGGAUUGGAGAUGACGGUACCACUAGAGAAAGCACCGGCUAACUUCGUGCCAGCAGCCGCGGUAAUACGAAGGGUGCAAACGUUAUUCGGAAUCACUGGGCGUAAAGGGUGUGUAGACGGCAUACUAAGUUCGUUGUUUAAUCUUCCGGCCUAACCGGAAGCUCGCGAUGGAAACUGGUAAGCUUGAGGAUGGAAGAGAGAAGUGGAAUUCUCGGAGUAGCGGUAAAAUGCGUAGAUCUCGAGAGGAACACCGAUGGCGAAGGCAGCUUCUUGGUCCACUCCUGACGUUGAGACACGAAAGCGUGGGUAGCAAACAGGAUUAGAUACCCUGGUAGUCCACGCUGUAAACGAUGAUCACUGG
rnacentral:rRNA from 1 species